UUAACCGGGUAGGCUAGUUGAGAACACCUUUAUUUAACCGGGUAGGCUAGUUGAGAACACCUUUAUUUAACCGGGUAGGCUAGUUGAGAACACCUUUAUUUAACCGGGUAGGCUAGUUGAGAACACCUUUAUUUAACCGGGUAGGCUAGUUGAGAACACCUUUAUUUAACCGGGUAGGCUAGUUGAGAACAAGUUCUCAUUUACAACUGCGACCUGGCCAAGAUAAAGCAAAGCAGUUUGACACAUACAACAACACAGAGUUACACAUGGAAUAAACAAACACACUCAAUAAUACAGUAGAAAAAUCUAUAUACAGCAUGUGCAAAUGAGGUAGGAUAAGAGAGGUAAGGCAAUAAAUGAGCUAUGUACAGGUGUAGUGAUCUGUGAGCUGCUCUGACAGCUGGUGCUAGUGAGGGAGAUAUGAGUCUCCAGCUUCAGAGAUUUUUUGCAGUUCGUUCCAGUUAUUGGCAGCAGAGAACUGGAACGAGAGGCGGCCAAUGGAAGAAUUGGCUUUGGGGGUGUCCAGUGAGAUAUACCUGCUGGAGCGCGUACCACGGGUGGGUGCUGCUAUGGUGACCAGUGAGCUGAGAUAAGGCGGGGCUUUACCUAGCAGAGACUUGUAAUUUGUUUUGCUUAUUUGACUAUUUUUGUCUUCAUUUAAAUUGUUUUGUCAAGUAUUUCAAUAAAGCUUUACUUUACUUUA